rnacentral:misc_RNA from 1 species
UCCGGUUUGUCACCGGCAGUCUCAUUAGAGUGCCCUUUCGUAGCAACUAAUGACAAGGGUUGCGCUCGUUGCGGGACUUAACCCAACAUCUCACGACACGAGCUGACGACAGCCAUGCAGCACCUGUGUGCUGGUUCCCUUGCGGGCACGAGGACAUCUCUGCCCCCUUCCAGCCAUGUCAAGGGUAGGUAAGGUUUUUCGCGUUGCAUCGAAUUAAUCCACAUCAUCCACCGCUUGUGCGGGUCCCCGUCAAUUCCUUUGAGUUUUAAUCUUGCGACCGUACUCCCCAGGCGGUCGACUUCACGCGUUAGCUGCGUUACCAAGGAAAUAAAUCCCCGACAACUAGUCGACAUCGUUUAGGGCGUGGACUAC